rnacentral:rRNA from 1 species
AUCGUUUGAGAACGCAGCGAAAUGCGAUAAGUAAUGUGAAUUGCAGAAUUCAGUGAACCAUCGAAUCUUUGAACGCACAUUGCGCCCAGCAGUAAUCUGCUGGGCAUGCCUGUCCGAGCGUCAUUUCUGCCCUCGAGCACGGUAGCCUUUCGGGGCUGCCGCCGCCCGGUGUUGGGGCGCUACGGGGAGCCUCGCGCUAUCCCCCGUAGGCCCCGAAAUGAAGUGGCGGUCCCGCCGCGGCGCCCUCUGCGUAGUAGUCUUAACAGCUCGCAUUGGGACCCGGUGGAGGCCAGCCGUCAAACCAAUCUUACAAGUUUGACCUCGGAUCAGGUAGGGUUACCCGCUGAACUUAAGCAUAUCAAUA